GACUGCCAGGGACUGGGGAGUUGCUGUUUCAUGGGUACAGGGUUUCAGUCUGGGAAGAUGAAGAAGUUCUGGAGCUAGAUGGCGGUGACGGGUGUUGCAAAACAAUGUGAAUAUUUUGAUUAUUCUCAGAAGAACCAUGUCCAACAACUGAAAACCUUAGAAUUUCCAAGGACACAGGAUUUCUUCUAUAAUUAAGAAACCUUCAAUAACAAUGCUGCCAUUAUAAGUCCAGCAGUCCAGUUUCAAAGUACAGCCUAUUCGCUGGAUCAUGAGAAUAUGUUACUAAGAAGAAUCACUUCAUCCAUGGGAAGCUGCAGUCAGCAUUUUAAAGCAACACUGCCACCAGAAGACAAGAAAGAAAAGUAACUACUAACGACUACGGGGCAAGUUAAAUACAAAAUAUUUACCUGGCCUCCCAACGCGGCUACAUUACACCCUGCCUACCACCAACUCUUCAGAAAGGCUCAUUCUUUCUCGUACCUCAUCUUUGUAACUUUUUUCCCCCCAGCAUUAGCCUAUCUACUA